GCCAGUGUGGCAUAGUGGUUUGAGUGCUGGACUAUGACUCUGCAGGUCAGGGUUCAAAUCCCUACUCCACCA